CCUACGGGAGACAGCAGUGAGGAAUAUUGGUCAAUGGGCGGAAGCCUGAACCAGCCAAGUAGCGUGCGGGAUGAAGGCCCUACGGGUCGUAAACCGCUUUUGCACGGGGAUAACACCCUCCACUUGUGGAGGUCUUCAGGUACCGUGCGAAUAAGGGCUGGCUAAUACCGUGCCAGCAGCCGCGGUAAUACGGAAGGCCCGAGCGUUAUCCGGAUUCAUUGGGCUUAAAGGGAGCGUAGGCGGGCGUUCAAGGCAGCUGUAAAAUCGCGCGGCUCAACCGCGCCCCGCAGUUGAAACUGGGCGUCUUGAGUUCACAACAGGCAGGCGGAAUUCGUGGUGUAGCGGUGAAAUGCAUAGAUAUCACGAGGAACCCCGAUUGCGAAGGCAGCAUGCCGGGGUGCGACUGACGCUGAGGCUCGAAGGUGCGGGUAUCAAACAGGAUUAGAUACCCCAGUAGUC
rnacentral:rRNA from 1 species